GACGAACGCUGGCGGCGUGCUUUACACAUGCAAGUCGAACGGUGAAGGUGGAGCUUGCUCCGCCGGAUCAGUGGCGAACGGGUGAGUAACACGUGGGCAACCUGCCCCUAACUUUGGGAUAACUACUCGAAAGAGUAGCUAAUACCGGAUAUGAAGUCUGUAGGCAUCUAUGGAUUUGGAAAGUUUUUCGGUUAGGGAUGGGCCCGCGGCCUAUCAGCUUGUUGGUGAGGCAGUGGCGCACCAAGGCGACGACGGGUAGCCGGCCUGAGAGGGCGACCGGCCACACUGGGACUGAGACACGGCCCAGACUCCUACGGGAGGCAGCAGUGGGGAAUAUUGCGCAAUGGGCGAAAGCCUGACGCAGCAACGCCGCGUGCGGGAUGAAGGCCUUCGGGUUGUAAACCGCUUUCAGCAGGGAAGAAGCGAAGGUGACGGUACCUGCAGAAGAAGCACCGGCUAACUACAUGCCAGCCGCCGCGGUAA
rnacentral:rRNA from 1 species